rnacentral:lncRNA from 8 species
ACUCAAGGAGCUUGGUCGCUCAAAUGCCAGCCACAACCAAUGCUCCCUCCCAGUUAAGGGGUCAGAGCUGCUUGGGUGGAAGCCAGAGGGCUGUGGUCAAAAGUCACCAUCCAGUGUCAUUACGAAAAGGACUCACCUCCCAGCAAAAAUGUCACAGUGGUGGUGUGGAACACAAGUAAGAAAGAUUACAUGAGAAAUUUAAUGCAUAGAUUCCUGAUUUAGGUGAUUCAUCCAUUUGGUCAAAAAUACAUUUUACUCUGUUACAGACAUGCUGACUAAGUACAUCAUCGGAUGUAUGGCCCUGAUAGGAUUCAUGAUUCUACCUGCAGUAUUCAUAUUCUACAUCACCUGUCUCCUCUCACUGAAAGCAAAGAGGAACGGACACCUCAUCAUAACAAGGUGAAUAGUGUUGGUUGUGUGUUGAACAGCAUGAUUAUGACAGCAUACAGAACAUACAGUUUAAAUGUGAAUGCCUGUCUCACCUAACCAUGUCUUUCAGAUCGCCCAGUGACCAGACAUUGCCAGGAGACCCUACCGUAACAAGUAUGUAUGAUGCCACAGUGAAGUGUACGUGUGUAGGCCUAUUAUUAUAGAGAUAUUUACCACACUCCCGUUUUAACAGCACAUUUCUGUGAUUCUGUUAACACAGCAAGUGACACAACAAAUCCUGUAGAAUCUCCACAGGAAAAGAAGGCAAUACCAUGACAUAAUUAUGUUUUUAUGUAGCUGCCUCACGCUCUUCCUCUACUUUGCCACCAUAGUGCUUUUUUGGAUGUCUGUGCAUAAACAGUACAUUUGGCUGGCACACAACACAUAAGCAUGUUAUAAAUGAAAAACAGUUGGAAUGGUGGUUUAUUGAAAGGAUUUGAUGAUUUGAUGUUUUCUUUCAAAUCGUGAUUUGUCCUCAUCCCUUUGUUGCAAUAACAGGAAGGUGAAGAUGAUUGGUGCUAUGCCACCGUGUCCCAUGCUGGUGCUCCUCCAUCCUACUCAGUCAAGUUUGAGCAAGGCCAUGACUAUGCCACAAUGGUCAUAUACUGACCAGCAUGUGCCGACCUGAAAGGACAUGAAAGGACUUCCACAUAGAUAGAUUGUUUGAUUUUAACGCCUUUCCAAGAAAUCAAUUGCAUGCGUCUAUUUGCAAUGUAGUUUUGAUCAUCCAAUUUGUCACUUUAAGAGAACAAUAAAGUUUUUGUAUUCCACCAUCCGCUUAAUUUCUGUUUGUCUCGUGUGCACCUGUCAGUCCUAUUCGCAGGAAACAGUAACACGCUGCUUUUCGCUGACCAGGCACUCAUCUUUGCUUACCUGCUGAAUGCUUCUAAAUGUAAGCCAUUGACUUAAAGUAAUAAUUACUUCUUAGGCUACUCUCUGGUUUCUCAAUUAAAUUGAAAUCACAUGUUAAGUAACCUACUUUUAUAAAAUCCAUAAGGGUUCAGUCUACUCCAAAUGUGCACGGUCCGUGGAUGAAUUGGCAAGUUUUCUAACCGUUUUCUCACGGUGUGGUGGUUACAAACUACUCUACUUCUGCCCCA